rnacentral:rRNA from 1 species
UACAGAGGAUGCAAGCGUUAUCCGGAAUGAUUGGGCGUAAAGCGUCUGUAGGUGGCUUUUUAAGUCCGCCGUCAAAUCCCAGGGCUCAACCCUGGACAGGCGGUGGAAACUACCAAGCUGGAGUACGGUAGGGGCAGAGGGAAUUUCCGGUGGAGCGGUGAAAUGCGUAGAUAUCGAGAGGAACACCUGCGGCGAAGGCGGGUAGCUGGGCCGACACUGACGCUGAGGCGCGAAAGCCAGGGGAGCGAACGGG